rnacentral:rRNA from 1 species
UGGGGAAUUUUGGACAAUGGGCGAAAGCCUGAUCCAGCAAUGCCGCGUGUGUGAAGAAGGCCUUCGGGUUGUAAAGCACUUUUGUCCGGAAAGAAAUGGCUCUGGUUAAUACCUGGGGUCGAUGACGGUACCGGAAGAAUAAGGACCGGCUAACUACGUGCCAGCAGCCGCGGUAAUACGUAGGGUCCAAGCGUUAAUCGGAAUUACUGGGCGUAAAGCGUGCGCAGGCGGUUGUGCAAGACCGAUGUGAAAUCCCCGAGCUUAACUUGGGAAUUGCAUUGGUGACUGCACGGCUAGAGUGUGUCAGAGGGGGGUUAGAAUUCCACGUGUAGCAGUGAAAUGCGUAGAGAUGUGGAGGAAUACCGAUGGCGAAGGCAGCCCCCUGGGAUAACACUGACGCUCAUGCACGAAAGCGUGGGGAGCAAACAGGAUUAGAUACCCUGGUAGUCCACGCCCUAAACGAUGUCAACUAGUUGUUGGGGAUUCAUUUCCUUAGUAACGUAGCUAACGCGUGAAGUUGACCGCCUGGGGAGUACGGUCGCAAGAUU